UACGUAGGGGGCAAGCGUUGUCCGGAUUUAUUGGGCGUAAAGAGCGUGUAGGCGGCCAGGUAGGUCUGCUGUGAAAACUCGAGGCUUAACCUCGAGCUGUCGGCGGAAACCAUCUGGCUAGAGUCCGGAAGAGGAGAAUGGAAUUCCUGGUGUAGCGGUGAAAUGCGCAGAUAUCAGGAAGAACACCAAUGGCGAAGGCAGCUCUCUGGGACGGUACUGACGACUGGAGAACGCGGAAAGC
rnacentral:rRNA from 1 species